AGGCAAAACCUCUCCCAAAACAACCGUAAUUAACGUAUCACGUAUAAAGUGGAAACAGCGCCAGAAGACUAUAGUGGACAAAAAUAUAUUACAUCCGUAGUGGUUUAGCUAAACGGCCUAAACCGUUUCCCAUUCAUUCUCUAUGGUAGUGCUAAACCACUACGGAUGUAAUAUAUCUUUGGCCACUACGGUCUUCCGGCGCUGUUGCGAGUUUGAGAUGCGGCGGCACUUUUAAAAAAUCUCCUCUUUUACGAGAAAACAAGUAACUCACCGCUCGCAACACAUCUCAACGAUCCUCGUUCAUUGAUCAAAGAUGCAGAAGAAAAUUGCGCCAUAUCCAGGGAAAAUCUCUGUGGCAUUCCGCAAGGGGCCACUUGGAUACCUUCCCCGGGACUCGUCAAAAGAAGCUCGGCGGAUUAAAAAUGUCCCCGAGCUUCAGGACAAGUCUGCACCUGUGAGGGAGGACGAUGCUCUGACUGUCAUCUAUCAGAGAGGAGGGGAUGCCUCUGACAUGAAGGAAGUGCAGGGAGAGUACAUCCUGCAGUUUGGAAAGUAUAAAGGGAAAUCUUUCCAGUGGCUUCUGGAGAAUGAAUGUCGGGUACACCAUGUACCUGAUCAAAGAUCUCCAGAAGCAAGAGGCUGCAGGGACCUCUGUGGAAGAAGGACAUGGCAAGGAGAGCUUGCAUUCAUUUGUACAGUAUGCCCUCAGCUUUACAGAGAUAAAAACUCUUCUGAACUACGAGGCCAGCAGAGUGAGUGUUGGAGCAGAAGCCUCUGAGGAUGAUCAGCUGGUUGGCUUUGGCUCAUGAGCCAAGAGCACCUGGAAGGAGAUUUGGGGUGGCAGAGGUGACGGCUAUGGAGACUUUAUCACGAGGAAGAGCUGCAGUCAAGGAACACGGAUGCAUAAGCUGCAGCAGUACGUGCGGAAGAAGCAGCAGUCUGUGUCUGCUUCCACAAAUGCUCCAACUAAACCCCUGGGGAUGGAUGAGGAUAAAGACCUGGAGGACGCAAUGCUGAGCAUCUCACCUGUAAAACUACACAUGCAGAGCUUCACUGUGCCAGCAGCAGCAGAAGGGUCCACACCCAGAGGAUCUUCAGGAGCAAACACAGGUGAGUGAUCUACACUUUUGCACUGUGUGUAUGUUUGCACUGUGUAAGAUCCAUUGGUCAUCCUCCGCCAUUCUCCUGUCUAUCAACACAGUACUUGUGAUACUUGUGAUCAUCUAUAGAUGUUCAACUGAAUCAUAAAAAAACAUGUUUACUUGUUGAUAUCUAGUAGAAAUCAAAGCAAAAGAAGAUAAACACAACAGAGAUGUAGAGCCAACUGGAACAUCUUACGUUACCUUAAGGUGUUUUGAUGAAACAAUAAUGAUUAAAAAUAAAAGCUUCUGUUGAAAAUAUGACUUUAUUGAAUUAUAUUAUGGCUACAUUAGUGACCUAAAUAGAAAAAUGCAGUUAUUGUGGUUUGAGACAUUUAAAACCAGUUAUAUCAUCCCUGGAGUUGUCCAAGUUUUGUAACCUGUUGUACAAAACACAUACAUAAACAUCUUACAUCUGGUAGUGAAUCUGAUUUGUGUAUGCAAUGAGGCAGACAUGUAUGGUGUUUAUCAUGAGAGGGCAAGAACAAGAAGGCCCUGCAUACAUGCUAUUUGCACAGCGAUGUGUGUGCACUGGUGUUGUUUUGAACAUACGAGUGUGCAUGUUUGCUGUUGGCGGUGAAGGGUCAUUGUGUGGGUGGUCACCACAGGUUGUGGGAGGCUGAAUCAGCUUGAAAAGUUAUGAAAAUAGUCUUCCAACGUCCAAAUAUUAGCCCGUGUGAGAGGACGUCUUCCUAGACUGGGCCCCUGCAUGAACACACACACACACAAACAUGUUCUGUCCUUUUUUCCUUGACCUCCUGCUGCAACGCACACACAAUGUUUCUCAGUCAGUCUUGCUGAAGGCUACUUGAAUGCAGUGAAGAUGAAGCUAAGCUGCCAGUAGUUGAGCAGUAGAGUGAGAGUAAGAGAGAUGAGGUAUUUGUUUAGCUCGUAUGGAGACUCUGAUGAAACUCCAAGACACGAGUCAUAACGUUUAACCACAACAAAUAGAGUGCAAGAUGAUGAAAGAAAAGUAGGACAUCGGAGGCUGGUCUUUAUUAAAAAUGUACCAUCUGAUUAUUUUUUAAGA